CCUACGGGUGGCAGCAGUGAGGAAUAUUGGUCAAUGGGCGUAAGCCUGAACCAGCCAAGUCGCGUGCGGGAUGAAGGUUCUAUGGAUCGUAAACCUCUUUUAUAAGGGAAUAACGUGCGGGACGUGUCCCGCUUUGUAUGUACCUUAUGAAUAAGGAUCGGCUAACUCCGUGCCAGCAGCCGCGGUAAUACGGAGGAUCCGGGCGUUAUCCGGAUUUAUUGGGUUUAAAGGGUGCGUAGGCGGCCUUUUAAGUCAGCGGUGAAAGUCUGUGGCUCAACCAUAGAAUUGCCGUUGAAACUGGGGGGCUUGAGUAUGUUUGAGGCAGGCGGAAUGCGUGGUGUAGCGGUGAAAUGCUUAGAUAUCACGCAGAACCCCGAUUGCGAAGGCAGCCUGCCAAGCCAUGACUGACGCUGAUGCACGAAAGCGUGGGGAUCAAACAGGAUUAGAUACCCCUGUAGUC
rnacentral:rRNA from 1 species